rnacentral:rRNA from 1 species
GGGUUGUGAGGUUAAGCGACUAAGCGUACACGGUGGAUGCCCUGGCAGUCAGAGGCGAUGAAGGACGUGCUAAUCUGCGAUAAGCGUCGGUAAGGUGAUAUGAACCGUUAUAACCGGCGAUUUCCGAAUGGGGAAACCCAGUGUGUUUCGACACACUAUCAUUAACUGAAUCCAUAGGUUAAUGAGGCGAACCGGGGGAACUGAAACAUCUAAGUACCCCGAGGAAAAGAAAUCAACCGAGAUUCCCCCAGUAGCGGCGAGCGAACGGGGAGCAGCCCAGAGCCUGAAUCAGUGUGUGUGUUAGUGGAAGCGUCUGGAAAGGCGCGCGAUACAGGGUGACAGCCCCGUACACAAAAAUGCACAUGCUGUGAGCUCGAUGAGUAGGGCGGGACACGUGGUAUCCUGUCUGAAUAUGGGGGGACCAUCCUCCAAGGCUAAAUACUCCUGACUGACCGAUAGUGAACCAGUACCGUGAGGGAAAGGCGAAAAGAACCCCGGCGAGGGGAGUGAAAAAGAACCUGAAACCGUGUACGUACAAGCAGUGGGAGCACGCUUAGGCGUGUGACUGCGUACCUUUUGUAUAAUGGGUCAGCGACUUAUAUUCUGUAGCAAGGUUAACCGAAUAGGGGAGCCGAAGGGAAACCGAGUCUUAACUGGGCGUUAAGUUGCAGGGUAUAGACCCGAAACCCGGUGAUCUAGCCAUGGGCAGGUUGAAGGUUGGGUAACACUAACUGGAGGACCGAACCGACUAAUGUUGAAAAAUUAGCGGAUGACUUGUGGCUGGGGGUGAAAGGCCAAUCAAACCGGGAGAUAGCUGGUUCUCCCCGAAAGCUAUUUAGGUAGCGCCUCGUGAAUUCAUCUCCGGGGGUAGAGCACUGUUUCGGCAAGGGGGUCAUCCCGACUUACCAACCCGAUGCAAACUGCGAAUACCGGAGAAUGUUAUCACGGGAGACACACGGCGGGUGCUAACGUCCGUCGUGAAGAGGGAAACAACCCAGACCGCCAGCUAAGGUCCCAAAGUCAUGGUUAAGUGGGAAACGAUGUGGGAAGGCCCAGACAGCCAGGAUGUUGGCUUAGAAGCAGCCAUCAUUUAAAGAAAGCGUAAUAGCUCACUGGUCGAGUCGGCCUGCGCGGAAGAUGUAACGGGGCUAAACCAUGCACCGAAGCUGCGGCAGCGACGCUUAUGCGUUGUUGGGUAGGGGAGCGUUCUGUAAGCCUGUGAAGGUGUGCUGUGAGGCAUGCUGGAGGUAUCAGAAGUGCGAAUGCUGACAUAAGUAACGAUAAAGCGGGUGAAAAGCCCGCUCGCCGGAAGACCAAGGGUUCCUGUCCAACGUUAAUCGGGGCAGGGUGAGUCGACCCCUAAGGCGAGGCCGAAAGGCGUAGUCGAUGGGAAACAGGUUAAUAUUCCUGUACUUGGUGUUACUGCGAAGGGGGGACGGAGAAGGCUAUGUUGGCCGGGCGACGGUUGUCCCGGUUUAAGCGUGUAGGCUGGUUUUCCAGGCAAAUCCGGAAAAUCAAGGCUGAGGCGUGAUGACGAGGCACUACGGUGCUGAAGCAACAAAUGCCCUGCUUCCAGGAAAAGCCUCUAAGCAUCAGGUAACAUCAAAUCGUACCCCAAACCGACACAGGUGGUCAGGUAGAGAAUACCAAGGCGCUUGAGAGAACUCGGGUGAAGGAACUAGGCAAAAUGGUGCCGUAACUUCGGGAGAAGGCACGCUGAUAUGUAGGUGAAGCGACUUGCUCGUGGAGCUGAAAUCAGUCGAAGAUACCAGCUGGCUGCAACUGUUUAUUAAAAACACAGCACUGUGCAAACACGAAAGUGGACGUAUACGGUGUGACGCCUGCCCGGUGCCGGAAGGUUAAUUGAUGGGGUUAGCGGUAACGCGAAGCUCUUGAUCGAAGCCCCGGUAAACGGCGGCCGUAACUAUAACGGUCCUAAGGUAGCGAAAUUCCUUGUCGGGUAAGUUCCGACCUGCACGAAUGGCGUAAUGAUGGCCAGGCUGUCUCCACCCGAGACUCAGUGAAAUUGAACUCGCUGUGAAGAUGCAGUGUACCCGCGGCAAGACGGAAAGACCCCGUGAACCUUUACUAUAGCUUGACACUGAACAUUGAGCCUUGAUGUGUAGGAUAGGUGGGAGGCUUAGAAGUGUGGACGCCAGUCUGCAUGGAGCCGACCUUGAAAUACCACCCUUUAAUGUUUGAUGUUCUAACGUUGACCCGUAAUCCGGGUUGCGGACAGUGUCUGGUGGGUAGUUUGACUGGGGCGGUCUCCUCCUAAAGAGUAACGGAGGAGCACGAAGGUUGGCUAAUCCUGGUCGGACAUCAGGAGGUUAGUGCAAUGGCAUAAGCCAGCUUGACUGCGAGCGUGACGGCGCGAGCAGGUGCGAAAGCAGGUCAUAGUGAUCCGGUGGUUCUGAAUGGAAGGGCCAUCGCUCAACGGAUAAAAGGUACUCCGGGGAUAACAGGCUGAUACCGCCCAAGAGUUCAUAUCGACGGCGGUGUUUGGCACCUCGAUGUCGGCUCAUCACAUCCUGGGGCUGAAGUAGGUCCCAAGGGUAUGGCUGUUCGCCAUUUAAAGUGGUACGCGAGCUGGGUUUAGAACGUCGUGAGACAGUUCGGUCCCUAUCUGCCGUGGGCGCUGGAGAACUGAGGGGGGCUGCUCCUAGUACGAGAGGACCGGAGUGGACGCAUCACUGGUGUUCGGGUUGUCAUGCCAAUGGCACUGCCCGGUAGCUAAAUGCGGAAGAGAUAAGUGCUGAAAGCAUCUAAGCACGAAACUUGCCCCGAGAUGAGUUCUCCCUGACCCUUUAAGGGUCCUGAAGGAACGUUGAAGACGACGACGUUGAUAGGCCGGGUGUGUAAGCGCAGCGAUGCGUUGAGCUAACCGGUACUAAUGAACCGUGAGGCUUAACCUUACAACGCCGAAGCUGUU